UAAAGAAUUUCCAUCAACCUUAUCACUUUGCACGACCAUUAUUCUGAAAAACAGAGAGAAAAUAAAACCAAAAACCAUUUCUUGGCUGGUUUGAAGAAAUUCUAAGGAGAUCAAAGUGAAAGCAAAGCCAAAGAAGUAGAUUAAGCUUAGUUCUAGCAUUUUUAUGAUAUUUCUUGGGGUUUCCAAGUGGUUUGAGGUUUAGAAAAGCUUGAAGAGAUUGUUCUCGCCGAAAAGUUGCUCGGUAAGUGAAAUUUUGUGUUUUAUGAGGUUUUUGGGGUUCUUGGAGUACAAGCUGAUUUUUGGUUAUUUGAUUGAGUUUAUAAGAGAGUAUAUAUGUUUAUAAAUGUUUGAAUAGAUGGGAAGACUCAUUUAAUUUGGGUGAUGAUCUAGGAGAUUUGAAUUUUAUCAAAAUCGGUAUAUGAUAACUUUAUGAUGAAUCAUGUUGGUAUUUGGGAUAUAUGGUUAUGGCAGGUUAAUUGAUGUUGAUUAUUGGUUGAUUGUAAUAUUUGAGGAUAGCUAAAAUUAAGGGGAAACUCUGUCAAAAUUUCCCCAAAUGUCUAAGAUAAAUCUAAUGCUCGAUCUAGGUGGUUUAAGGCAUUUUAGGCAUGUUUUGGGUAUGAAAUUUGAUAUGAAGUUUUAUGGGUAUUUUUAAAUGAGAGUUCAAUGUAUUACUACCAUCAUUAUGAUGAGAAAUCCAUGCCAUUGUCAGGAUAAGCACAUCAAUACCUAAGACACCACUUGUUACACAGUGAAAUAUAUUUUGGACAAAAGGUAGAGAAAGAAAUGUGUGAAUGACAUGAGGAUAACUGAAGCAUGGUCCUGACCCUGAUUUGUACAUAUGAACAUAUCGACCUUUUGUGAGUUAUUUCAGUUAUCAGUGAGAUGUUUGUAAUAAAGUGUGAAGUUAUGUUUUGAAAAUAAAUUGGGUUAUUUAAUACUUAUGUAUAAUAUGUUUGAGACACACUUUAUGUUUAAUGUAAAUAAUGUGAAAUAAGUUUUCAA